ensembl:lncRNA
AGCAGGGUCAAGGUCCAGGCAGGGGGAGCUCAGAGGCAUCGGGCAGCUGAGCUGUGCCCCACACAGCACCAUGAAGCUGGGGCUGCUCUGCGCCCUCGCCAUGGCCCUCCUGGCCAUGGCCAUGGCUGACCUCAAAGACUCCAAGAAGGGAAAAAUGCUCACAUGGAACAGAGAGGACAGGAAAGGAGGAGCAGCGGUGGCCAAGCACAGCCCUGCGCCAUGAUGGAGCUGGGGGUCCCACCACCCCCUGACUGCACCACAGCCCUGAGGGGAGCCAGGGGGUCCUGCUGUGCCUCCAGCAUGAUGGGGCUGCCCAGCUGCCCCAGAGUGCUCCUGGGGGGCAGCACCCCCACCUGCCACACGAAGCUGCCAAAUAAAGCCACCAAACCAGC